UACGAAGGGUGCAAGCGUUAUUCGGAAUCACUGGGCGUGAAGGGUGCGUAGACGGUAUGUUAAGUUUGUUGUUAAAGGCUCCGGCCUAACUGGAGUAUUGCGAUGAAAACUGGCGUGCUAGAGGGUGAGAGAGAGAAGUGGAAUUCCCGGAGUAGCGGUAAAAUGCGUGGAUCUCGGGAGGAACACCAAUGGCGAAGGCAGCUUCUUGGCUCAUUUCCUGACGUUGAGGCACGAAAGCGUGGGGAGCAAACAGG
rnacentral:rRNA from 1 species